CUGUCACCCUCCUCCUCCAAAACAAAAACGCGCGCGCACACACACACACACACCCCGUGCAGGGGAGUCCGCAGCACCUCGCUUAGGCGUAGGGCUGGUUCCUGCAACUUCUAGCCCCUUCUCUGAUGUGAGUCACAGUGAGGUUCACUUUCUGGGGGUGGGAGUGCGUCACUGCUGGUUAGCGAGGGGGUGCAGGGGUUGCAGCUCAGGACUGAUUUGAUUUCUCUCUCUCUCUCUCUCCCCCCCCCCCCUCCGUCUGAAUUGGGCUGGAAAGUUGCGAAGCGGGGUGGGCGGCAUGAGAAAGUUACACACAAAGCGAGGAGAGCUCCUUUGUUCUGCUGGGGGGGUGGAGGGGGGACCUUUGGAGAGGGUGGCUGAGCCAGACACAUACAGGUCAGGAACGAUCGACAGCGAUUAGCCUUUCCCGUCAAACACCUCCCUCCACCCAAAGGAGCCAGGCGCUUGGAGGAGGAGGAGGAAAGCGGAAGGUGUAUCACACCAAGGUAAAGUGUGAUUGUCAGAGAAGCAUGAUGGCUGCCAAAACACCUUACAGCAAUAGGUGCCAUAUUGCAUUUGCUCUUCAAAUGGUGGAAUACGGCCGUGGAUACUUUAGUGGGGAUUAACAGAGUACAAACACUUAAUGACUAAAGACAUCAAACAUCAUCAUUUGGAUUUAUACAUCUAUUAAUAAACUGAUAAAACUGGUGGUAGUGGCUCUUGAAGAAAUCAGAAAAUAUGGAAGGUACUGUUGAAAAUGGUCUGGAGUAGAUCGCUUUGUGACAAUGAUAUUCUACAAUUAAAAUAAGGAAUUGGCCAUCUCUUUCUUUUGCACGGUUGCUGAAGCACUGUUACAGGACAGCAAGGAUUGAUGAAUAUUCUUCAGGUAUGAGUCAUGUCAGUACAGUGAAAGAGGAGGAUUUAUGUUUCUGAAGUGGGAUUGUGUAUGUGAUCAAAGGAUUUACAUCUAGCACUAUGUGCUGUAGUUCCUUCCUGCUCCAGGAGGGACACCUGGGCUUUUUGCUGGAGGCAUUAGUGCAACAGAAUCUGAACUUCAGUGCAGACAAAUGGGACAUGGAACAUAUUUUUCCUCGAAAGAAAUCAAUCUGUGAAAAGGGGCAACCGUGGAGGUCAAAAACUGUAUUGUACCCUGCUGCUGUUACUGACUAAGCCCUUUUGGGUAUACGGGUGAUGUCUUCAUUCUGCUAUCGAACAUGGUAAAGGGCCUCUAUCCGCAAGCUGGCAUUACGAUACCAUCAUUGGUCUCUGAAGCAGCAGCAUUAGAUACACUGUGAUGGGCAACCUAGAAAUACCAAGAGCAGCAAGCAGCAUGCCACAUCUUCAUUUUUAGCUCUUUUCCAUACUCUGCUCUUGAGGUGGCAUGGCCUCCCUCAGAGGUGGACGCGGAGGGAACGCUGCAAGUCGCCUGGUGGGUGGAACCAGGAGGGCCACGCUCUGCAGCGGUGGGACAGAGAGAGGAAGUAUAAAAGGCUGGCCCAGCAGCUCUGUCAAAAGGGAGCUGCAGAAGGAGACAGACGCUUCUUCCCUGCUGCUGGAGUGGGAUGCCAAGGAGAACUGCUGCUGCCUAGAAGAUCAGCCUGAGCUUCCAGAGAGCCCUGCCACUCCCGAGGCUGAGGAGCUGCUACCGCUACCCUUGGCAGAGUAUCCCGGGGAGACUGAGGAUGACCCCUGGAUGCAGGUUUCCCUGGAUAGCAACGAGGCCCAGAAGUCAAGCCAGUCUUCCUCAGUGAGGGGGCCCGCUCAGAAACUGCUUACUGAGGGAUAGUACGACUUGCCUGUCACUCUUGCUGUUAUGGCAGGAGGUACUGUAAUGGUUACCAAGCAAUGUCCAGGCUAUGCCCUUCUCUGGAUACUAAGGACUACAGGUAGCCAUGUUGUGGAGAUGCCUGAAGACCUGGAGAGUAGAAACUGCAUCCUGCAGGGCUGAAUCAUCCAAGAAGCUGGAGGAAGAGGUGCUCCAUGCACUUCAUCAUGAGUUGGCUAAUCUAAGAAAUAACAUAAAGACUCAAAGCCUCAAUGAGAUGCUUCUGGGCUACAAAUGGUGCAAAACUUCUCUUGCAAGCCAGGAAUGAAAGUGGAGAAGUGGAUGGAUGAACAGCUGAUACAUACAAUCAACUGGUGACUAGGUUACUCUGAAUAAUUUACAAAUGACACGAAAAUGUAAUCAACAAAUAUUUGUAUUCAGGAAUGAAAGGCAUCUGGAUUUCAACCUACAAAAUGGAAUUAAUGAUAAAGGACAUGCAAGUAUAUCAGAUUGCUGUAGUCCUUCUGAGAAAGGCGUGAAUGACUGAGGCCAGGUCAUUGUCUGCCAGGAUGGGAAGGAGCCAAUUGAAGAUGAUAGAAAGUAUUAUUCAUGGACGCUACUUUGUGAGAGCCUAUGUCAAUGAGGAAUCCAAGAGCAAUGUUAAACUAUGGACUGACCUGACAAACUGAGAUUUGCUUAGCUCACGCUCAUGAGCUGGAGAAUAGGAAGACAGGCAGGAAGAUGAUGCACGAUCUGGACUCAACACCAUUUAUGGGACCUUCCUCCUUCCAGUGAACAGACAGCUCUUCAUGCAAAUUUCAGAUGUCUCCCUCUCAGUGGCAACUCAUUGUGUCUCUUUGUAUGAUGCCAGGGCCUUCACAUCAUAUACAGGGUUACUCGGGUUGCUCGGAAGAGUGAAGGCAUGCAGGCUCUGUCAAACAUUUACCCUGCCUCAAAGGAUCUGAACUCAAGGCUUUGCCUGGGAACGGAUAACAGAGAGAAGGCCACAGGAGUCGACUUUUAGAAGAAAUUUGCAUUUCCCUUUUCUUUGCUACUUGGGGACGGAACCUUGGUUGUGUCACAGACAAUGGAGCAUCUAUUUUGUAAUUGAAUAUGUACGCUGUGGAUUGCAUCCAAAUGGGAAAAGAAACACAGCUCAUAGAAACCAAUUGUAAGCUCUUCAGAACAGGGACGGUCUCUAAAUAGGCCUAUGUACUGUGUUCAGAAAAAUGGGGGUCUGAUAUUGGUUGGGAUCAUUAAGCGUUACUGCACUAUUACUAAUAAAUAAUCACAUUCUGUGUAUUACAGGGAUUUGUUUGGACAACUCCCAUUUUAAUCAUUAUACCUGAAUCAUCUGUACAUCCAGAUCCAUAAAAUGACGAAAUGCACAAAUCAGAAUUUCCACAUACCCAGGGGGAAGAGCUCCAUCUUGCAAGAAAAGCAUGAGUUUUACUAGCUAUUUUAAUGUUAAGGCAGCUCAGUCAGGCUGUAACUGGCUCAAGCUGGCCCUCCCAGAAGCUGUAACAUUCCUUGCCCGUUUAUAAGCAACAGUAAGUAUAGGGGAGUUGCAUACGGACUCAGUUUUGUUUUACUGGCUUUCAGUAAAAGUGGGAAAACUGCAACAAAAAGCAUAUUAGAGAAAACCCCAAACUUUGUAUUUGCAUAAGGGUAACUAAACAUGCACUGCAAGACUUAUGGACUCAUAGACUUUAAGGCCAGAAGGGACCAUCCUGAUCAACUAGUCUGACCUCCUGCACAUCACAGACCACAAAAUCUCACCCACCCACUCACUCCAGUAAUUGGCCCACAACCUCUGGCUGAACUACCGAAGGCCUCAAAAUUGGAUUUAAAGACUUCAAGUUACAGAGAAUCCACCAUUUACACUAGUUCAAACUCGCAAGUGACCUGUGCCCCAUGCUGCAGAGGAAGGUGAAAAAAUUCCAGGGUCUCAGCCAAUCUGACCUGAGGGAAAAUCCUUCUAACCCCAACUAUGGCAAUCAGUAGACUCUCAGCACGUGGGCAAGGCCCACCAACCAGACGCCUGGGAAAGAAUUAGCCCACCCCAUCUAAUGUCCUGUUCCUGGCCAUUGGAGAUAUUUGCUAAUAGCAGUCAUGGAUUGGCCAUAUGCCAUUCUAGGUAAUUUCAUCACACCAUCCACUCCAUAAAGUUAUCAAGCUCAGUCUUGAAACAAAAUAGGUUUUUUUUCCCCAACUACUCCCCUUCAAAGGCUGUUCCAUAACUUCACUCUUCUGAUCAUUAGAAACUUUAAUUUAAUUUCAAGCCUAAACUUAUUGAUGAUCGGUUCAUAUCCAUUUGUUCUUGUGCCAACUUUGGUCCUUAACUUAAAUAACUCCUCUCCUUCCCUGAUGUUUAUCCCUCUUACGUAUUCAUAGAGAGCAAUCAUAUAUCCCCUCGUUGUUCAUUUGUUUAGACUAUAAGAAGCCAAAGUUUAUAAAGUCUUUUCUUGAAAGGUAGGUUCUGCAUUCCUCUGAUCCUAGUAGCCCUUCUCUGCACCUGUUCCAGUUUGAAUUAAUCUUUCGUAAACAUAGGAGGCCAGAAUUGCACACAGUAUUCCAGAUGAGGUCUCAUCAAUGCCUUGUAUAAUGCUAGGGAUAACACUUCCCUAUCUCUACUGGAAAUACCUUGCCUGAUUCAUCCUAGGAUUGCAGUAGCCUCUUUCAUUGCUGAUUCACACUAGCAACUCAUAGUCAUCCUGUGAUUGACCUGUACACCCAGCUCUUUCUCCUCCUCUGUUGCUCCAAUCUGAUAAAUCCCCAGUUUAUAGCAAAAAUACUUGUUGUUAGUCCCUAAGAACAUGACCUUGCACUUUGCACUAUUAAAUUUCAUCCCAUUUCUAUUAUUUCAGUUUUCAAGGUUGUCCAGAUCUUCUUGUAUGAUAUUCCAGUCCUCCUCUGUAUUGGCAAUACCUCCCAACUUUGUGUCAUCCGCACAUUUUAUUAGCACUCUCCCACUUUUUGUGCCAAGGUCAUUAAGGAAAAUGUGAGAUAAGAUUGGUCCUAAGACCAGUCUCUGAGGAACUCCACUAGUAAUCUCCCUUCAGCCUGACAGUCUACCCAUUUAACCAGUUCCUUACCCACCCUUCAAUUCUCAUUUUAAUCCCCAUCUUCUCCAAUUUAACUAAUUAUUUCCCAUGUGGAACUGUAUCAAAUGCCUUACUGAAAUCCAGGUAAUCAGACAUGAUGCAUUUCCUUUGCCUAGAAAAACAGUUAUUUUCUCAAAGAAUGAGAUCAGGUUGGUCUGGCAUGAUCUCACUUUUGAAAAACCAUGUUGUAUUUUAUCCCAAUUACCGUUCACCUCUAUGUCCUUAACUACUUUCACUUUCAAAAUUUGUUCCAAGACCUUGCCUACAACUGAAGUCAAAUUAACUGGCCUGUAGUUUCCUGGGUCACUUUCCCCCCCUUUCUUAAAGGUACUGUAUUAGCAAUUCUCCAGUCAUAGGGUAUGGCCCUCAAGUUUACGGAUUCUUUAAAAAUCCUUGCUAUUUGUCUUGCAAUUUCAUGUGCCAGUUCCUUUAAUAUUCUCAGAUGGAGAUUGUCCAGGCUCCCAAAUUUGGUCUCAUUAAACUAUUUGAGUUUGGCUUCCACCUCAGAUGUGAUAAUUUCUAUUUCCAUAUCCUCAUUUCCAUUAGCCACCCUGCCACUGCCCCCAAGCUCCUCAUUACCCUUAUUAAGAACUGAUGCAAAAUAUUUGUUUAGGUGUUGGACCAUACCUAAUUUUCACCCCGGACUCAGUUCUUAGCAGUCUCACUUCUUUCCUUGUUUUCUUUUUAUUUAUAUGGGUAAAGAACCUUUUACUGUUGUUUUUAAUUCCCUUUGCAAGGUCCAAUGCCGCUUGGCUUUUGGCAGUUCUCACUUUUUCCCUGCAUUUUCUGACCCCCAAGAGGACACUUUUCUUGCUGAUCCCUUCCAUCUUCCAUUCCUUGUUGGUUUUCUGCUUUCUCUUAAUCACCUGUCUGAGACGCUUGCUCAUCCAGCUUGGUCUGUAACCCUUCCCCAGGAAUUUUUCCCCUUGCUUGGGAUGCAAGCUUCAGAUAGUUCCUGCAACUUUAACUUAAAGUAAUUCCAAGUCACUGCCACAUUCUGAUCCUGGAGUUCUUUAGUCCAAUCAAUUGCACGAACUAAUUCUCUUGUUUUUUUAAAGAUAGCUCCUUUUGAAAUCAAGGACCAUAGCUGCAGACCUAUUUUUAUUUAUCCUUUCAUUUAGUUUAAGCUGAAUUAACUCAUGGUCACUCGAACCGAGCUUGUCCCCUAUAACCAGUUCUUCUAUGAGAUCCUCGCUGCUCACCAAUACUAAAUCUAAAAUGUCAUCAUUUGUUGUUGGUUCAGUGACUCUUUGGUGAAGAAAUCUGUCAAUCAGCCAUCACAUCCAGCAAUAUCUGGGCCCUACCAUUAUUAGUAGCACUUGUCCUCCAAUCUAUACCUGGGAAAUUAAUAUCUCAUAAUCACACCAAGCAGAGCAAUAAGCAGCUCUUAUAUGAUAUUGCAGAAUGACUUGAGAACCAGGUCACAGAGUGCCUCUGUCACUACCCAGGGUACUGCCCUGCCUGGCCAGUUCAUGUGGCCUCUCAGUCACAAACACAUACCAGGUUGUUACCCUUUCACCACAUGUGUAUUUAUUCUUUCCUUACACAGUAUAACAGUGUACUUCAGGUUUACAGCAAAAGGAGGCUUAUGCACAGCCUUCACUCCUCAGCCCAGGCUUAUCCUCUGAGCUCUCUGUGAUGCUGGCAGACCAGGUGCCAGCUUAUGCCGAGGGCCUCUCUGAGCACUGACAAAUGCAUAGCUGGAGACCAGGCUGGCUCGCUUGUGGGUUAGUAUAGUUAAAAUAGAUAUUAAUAUUAUAAGAAUGCUUUUACUGUUUAGACUUUAUGAAAUGCUUGUAGGAUGCUGCAUGUAGUAAUCCUACUUAUAAUAUCUGCUCUCCAUGUUAAAAGGCAAUACUUAAAUGUUUGCUCUAGAACUGUGAAAGGUUUGUUCUGAAACGCUGUAUCUCACCAAACAGGAAAAAGUCUUCACUCAUGCAAAAAUUCUGGAUUCCUAUGGAAGUUAUCUCCUGCCCAUCAGGAAGGGCUACUGAAUCCAUUGUGGAACAAAGACUUUGUCAUUUGCUCCCCCACCCACCCACGAAGAGGUUAUGUGCAGAAGCAUUUGUCCUAUCAUCUUAGACUCUGCGGGGUGGGGGGGGUUGGAUAAAAAUCCCUGACCAGAAGGUAUUGGGGGUUUUUUUGUGCUGUUCGGACUCUAAGCAGCAAAGAUUCCUAAGGAUAAGCAAGAGAUCACCAGGACUAACCUGGGGUAGCCCCAAUGGACAUAUACAGCGGUCAUAUUUCAGCAGCUCUAUCACCAUCUGAAACCUAAAACUGCAACUCAUUUGUGUGUGUAUGUUUAUCUGCUUUAACCUUGUAAAUAACUCUUAUUUCUCUCCUAGUUAAUAAACCUUAGUUGGUUUGAUACAGGAUUGACUACAAACGUUGUCUUUGGUGUGAGAUUUAAGGUCCAACUUGACCUGGGGUAAGUGACUGGCCCUCUGGGACUGGAGUAACCUGAAUAUUUUGUGAUCUUUGGUGUUAAAUGAUUAUCUAUUAGAGAGGCAAGCUUGUUUAGGUAGCAAGAUAGAUCAGAAUGCCCAGGAGGACUGUCUAACUCCAUCUUAUGGCUGUAUAGUGCCUGAGGAAUUUAGACGUAUUACUUGGCUGGUGAAA